rnacentral:rRNA from 1 species
GACGAACGCUGGCGGCGUGCUUAACACAUGCAAGUCGAACGGAAAGGCCCUGCUUUUGUGGGGUGCUCGAGUGGCGAACGGGUGAGUAACACGUGAGUAACCUGCCCUUGACUUUGGGAUAACUUCAGGAAACUGGGGCUAAUACCGGAUAGGAGCUCCUGCUGCAUGGUGGGGGUUGGAAAGUUUCGGCGGUUGGGGAUGGACUCGCGGCUUAUCAGCUUGUUGGUGGGGUAGUGGCUUACCAAGGCUUUGACGGGUAGCCGGCCUGAGAGGGUGACCGGCCACAUUGGGACUGAGAUACGGCCCAGACUCCUACGGGAGGCAGCAGUGGGGAAUAUUGCACAAUGGGCGGAAGCCUGAUGCAGCAACGCCGCGUGUGGGAUGACGGCCUUCGGGUUGUAAACCGCUUUCGCCUGUGACGAAGCGUGAGUGACGGUAAUGGGUAAAGAAGCACCGGCUAAUUACGUG